AGUGAACGCUGGCGGUAGGCCUAACACAUGCAAGUCGAACGGCAGCACAGUAAGAGCUUGCUCUUACGGGUGGCGAGUGGCGGACGGGUGAGGAAUACAUCGGAAUCUACUUUUUCGUGGGGGAUAACGUAGGGAAACUUACGCUAAUACCGCAUACGACCUACGGGUGAAAGCAGGGGAUCUUCGGACCUUGCGCGAUUGAAUGAGCCGAUGUCGGAUUAGCUAGUUGGCGGGGUAAGGGCCCACCAAGGCGACGAUCCGUAGCUGGUCUGAGAGGAUGAUCAGCCACACUGGAACUGAGACACGGUCCAGACUCCUACGGGAGGCAGCAGUGGGGAAUAUUGGACAAUGGGCGCAAGCCCGAUCCAGCCAUACCGCGUGGGUGAAGAAGGCCUUCGGGUUGUAAAGCCCUUUUGUUGGGAAAGAAAAGCAGCAGGUUAAUACCCCGCUGUUCUGACGGUACCCAAAGAAUAAGCACCGGCUAACUUCGUG
rnacentral:rRNA from 1 species